GCAGUUUUCAAAACCUUGUACAGUUAAGCAGGAUUUGCUAAGCUGCUGUUACUGAAACGAGGGGUUCCGACCGUAAGGUCAUCACAACCGCAUGCUGUUUUAUCUAGCAGCCAUGCACUUCAAUGAGAAUGCUGAGUCCCCACAACAGAAGACAGCCAAGGAGAAACUAUGUACAGACUUGCCAAACAAUUUAUCAUCAAAGACCCUCUUCCUUAUUGGCAUGCCGUCCAGCGGAUUCCUGUGCCCCAGGACUUGUGUGCUCAGCUUGACAGACCUUCCAUGGAGGAUGCUGUUGCUGAACAUGUGUCACGGUUCAGUCGAAAAGGGGUCUGAAUCCAACGUACUGCCCUGAAGUAUCCGGAAGCUCCCUCCAUAUGCGUAGCACCACAAACAAGGGGAUCAU